AAAUCAUACACAAGUUGUUUAAAAAUGUUUUAAAUAUCAUAUAUGGGUUAUUCGUAUUUGAUUCUUAUAUAUAUGUUUAUAUAUAUACAAGAUAACGACACACUAAAAAGAAUAAAGAGAGAAAAUACAAACCCUACAUAACACAAAACUAUUUUAAAAACACAGAAAAAGAGAUAACAUAAAUAGAAAAAUCAACCUAGAAAUAACUAAUCCAGUUCUAGUUGUAUUUUACGAGUUAUUCAUUGAAAUCAUACACAAGUUGUUUAAAAAUGUUUUAAAUAUCAUGUAUGGGUUAUUCAUAUUUGGUUCUUAUAUAUAUGUUUAUAUAUAUACAAGAUAACGACACACUAAAACGAAUAAAGAGGGAAAAUACAUCCCUACAUAACAGAAAACUAUUUUAAAAACACAGAAAACGAGAUAACAUAAAUAAAAAAAUCAACCUAGAAAUAACUUAACCAGUUCUAGUUGUAUUUUACGAGUUAUUCAUUGAAAUCAUACACAAGUUGUUUAAAAAUGUUUUAAAUAUCAUAUAUGGGUUAUUCAUAUUUGAUUAUUAUAUAUAUGUUUAUAUAUAUACAAGAUAACGACACACUAAAAAGAAUAAAG
rnacentral:lncRNA from 1 species